GGAGGGGUGGUCGAGUGGUUGAUGGCUCCGGUCUUGAAAACCGGCGAAGGGAAACCUUCCGCGGGUUCGAAUCCCGCCCCCUCCG
rfam:Synechococcus sp. WH 5701 scf_1099465003792 genomic scaffold, whole genome shotgun sequence.